CAGCAGUGCUCUGGCCAGCGCCCGGCAGGGAUCCCUCCCUGCAGGGAUCACCAUCUGCAAGGCCCGGGGGACAUCCUAACUCUUUCAGUGCCCAAUAAGGCUUGCAGACCUUCAAUCUUCCCUUGAAUGAGAGAAAAGGACAGAGUGAGGACACGCAGAGAAACAACAGGAAAACACUAAGAUUUACCAGGUUGGCUCUGCCAAAGGUAACAAUGAGAUGGUGCAAAAAGCUGUUCUACUAUCAGAGCCAGCAUCUUUUAUCUCGUAAAAGAUAAAAAGAACCAACUUUUGUCUCACUACAUGCAAUAAAGAGGUGAACUGCUUGGGAAGAUCAUCAAAGCUGUUACAGAAUGCAGCCAACUUUAUCAGAUGGGUGCACUUAGAAAUCUCUAUGAUGCCAGAUACCUCUGGAAAAAAAUUCCUGAAGCCUGCAGUAACUACAGCCCGAACAGGUGGGCACUCUGCUCUAACAGCACAGAGACUGCACUGGCACAUCUUAUGGGCUGAGGCUGCACAAGGGCUGCAAACUAUCACCUCUAACCAUCUCAACAACACAAACCAGAGCAUUUACCUAUGGCUUCCCUCAGGAAAUUUACAGCUACAAGUGAAAUCAGAUCCAUCCCGCACAAAGGCAGCUAAUCCUGAACUAAACAUUGACACUGUGCCUUAUGGUUCCCCUGGUAAAUUGCUCUAACCCUUAAUGUCCUAUUAAGAAAAGGCUCAAUUUCACUUUGGAUAAACAUGGCUUUCAGAUGUGUGGAAACAACUCAGAAAAACAUACCAUAAAACAAUUCAGACUGAUAGUAAUGAAAACAAAAUCCUGUCAUAUCUAAAUUGCAGAGCACACUAUAGACCCCAUAUGCCUUUGUCCUGCUGGGGAACCACAUCAAGGUACGAGAUUUACGACUAAGCACAGAUCUAAUGUGAGCUUUGUUCUAUCUGGAACCGUCCCAAAGCCAUGAUCCACUUGCAUGGUUCAGACUGUGUACUCCCAAUCUAGCCCAGCAAACUUCAAGACAUACAUUAUCACACAAGUAAAAUUGAGAUCUUAAACCCUCUUCUCCUGUAGAAAGAAGAAAAAAAAAUCAAAAAAAGAAAGAAAACUUCACACUGGGACAUACUUGGACUCACCAACAGGAGACCAGCUUGAAAAUGUCACUUUCUUAGGCUUCAUGAGGUUUAUUAGCUUUUCUACUUCACUCCAACUAUCAUUCAUGGCGUAAAUUUAUUUGAAUUUGCCUCAAGAAACAAUGAGAGCAAAACUCAUCAGAAGACCCUGUUUCACCACUGCUUCCUGAUCUAAAAUAAGGUUAACAUUUGUUACUGGCUAAUUAAAUGCAGCCUUAUUCUACCUUAUUAUAGCAUAUUAGGGUGUUCAAAUUCCAGUAUUACUUUUUCCCCAUUUGUAUUCCUGCACACAAAUAUCACAGUGCAGGUUACCAGAAAGCUGCCACUACACCUACUCUCUGCUGGGGCAUUUCACUAGGAGCUAAAUUACCAGUUUUCAAAUAAAACCUUGGACUUGUGAGGAGAACCUAGAUGAGGACAGCAUGUGCUAUUAUUAGCUUCACAGCAGUAAUAGCCAUAUGUCCUCAUCAAGUACAGGAUACAUCAUACUCUAUACAUUCCAUCAAAUGAAAGCCAGUCUGAAGUUUAGCAGCACAGUGAUUGCAAAAAUUGAAAGAAGCUUGAGGACACAGCAAAAUAAUGACAGUAAUAAGAUCCUACCUUCUACUAACUUCUGAACAGCUACAUCAAAAUACAGGUAAAUUAAAAGGGAAUCUGAGGCGUGCACAGGACAUGAAGCUUUCAGGGACAUACUCCUGUGCACAAUGGGCUAAAACAGAGUGUGUGGGAGGGGCAGAAAAACAAAACACCAAGACCACGACAGGCCCACAAACCCACACCUGGACACUGUUCACACUCAGCUCAAGACUGGCACAGUUACUCCUUUAUUGCAGAAGUAACAAUUUGGGGACAGCAGAUAUCCAUCCUGCCACCGGAGGCAAGGAAGCAGUGUUCAGUGAGAUGGUGCCUUGAGGGAAGGAUAAAUCAUCCAGCCCAAGGUCAGGCAAAAAGAAACAACCCAAGAGUAAAAAGUACAUAGGCAGGGUUGGAUGAACAUUACAAGACAAUACUUUUACAGUCUUUCAAUUUAAAAAAAAAAAAAAAAAAAAAAAACCAACAAGGAAUGAAGCAAUGGCAAAUGUCUGUUACGGCAGUGACUAUAGCAGAAGAAAACUAGAAAUUUCUUAGAAAUUAAAUAUAAGGAUAUUCUGAAUACCAAAAACUGUUAGCCCCUCUAACCAAAACAAGAAAAAUACCUUUCAAUUAAUAGCUUGGGUUUUGUUUGGCGAUUAUCUUUCUUUUCAGAUGAACAGGGGCUGGCCACUCAGCUUUACAGUCACUUGCACAUCCAGCAGACUAAUUUACAACAAAAUUAGGUGGGCAAAUACAUCAACUUGACAAGUAACAGCAGAGCAAAUUUCAGUCAAACAUUUUUCAAAUAUCCUUGAGAAUUUACCUCCAAGAACAGAAGGGUCAGUUCUGCCCUAGUGUAAGCUACUACAGCAAAGCUGAAAGAGCUCCCCCUAGGACAAACCCCCUUUAGAACUUCACCAGAGUUCUGCUAAAGAAAGGUGAAACUUUGUAGCUCCAUCUUUUAUUGCUAAAAGAAGUAUAACAGGAUGGUCAUAUUCAAGGUGAACAGCAUCAAUGCGUCAUUUGAGUCUAUCAUUUUUAGAGAUCAGAAUUCAUGCCUUUGUUUAAAAUCAAAACGAUUCUGUGCAUCUUACACUGACCCCAAUUAAUUUAUGUAAUGUGACCAGUUUCUGAACAGGAUUAAUUGAGGUAUGUACAUGGAUAACACAACAAAACACAGAAAACUGGUUUCUGAGCUUUUAGAAAGUGGAUUUUUUCCAAGCUGUUAGUAAACUAAGUACCUCAUGCUACAUCACAAAAGAAAUUGUACUGCUUGGGACUGUAGGGAAGAAAACUCAUGUCCAGCUGGUUUUGAUAGAAGAGAACCUGAGGUUUUUCUUCCUUCUUUCAAAAAUGAUCACCUGAACAUCUAAAAUCCAGUCCUGCAGCUGGGGUGGAGUAACACACUCAUCACAACACAGUCUGGGAAGCAGCUGGCUGGGGGGCAGCGCUGCUGGAAAAGGACCUGACACCCUGCUCCGUGUCAGCAGCAUUCCCCAAUGAAAGCUGACAGCACAGCGAGCUCCAAGGGCACAGCCACAGUGCAGAGGACGAGGGGACACUUGCUGCAUCACAUCUAGAAAACCAUGUCCAGUUUGGGGCUCUCUGAUACAACAGAGACAACAAUAAGUAAGGCAAAUUCAGCAGAAAGGCCACCUACAAGGUUAUGGGCUGGUAUGGGCUGGAGCUCUUACCCUGCCAGGAGGGAGAGAGAUGUGAGCUUUUGCAGCCUGAGGAAAAGGCAGCUUCAGAGGGCCCCAAGAGCAGCCCUUGAACACACAGGAAAUGACAAAACCAGCACAGACAGGCUCUUCACAGCCAUGCAUGGUAGAAGGGUAUUCUGACAGCAAUCUGACAGAGGGAGGAGCUGAUGAGAGAUGGCACAGGAGCAAUUUCACACCAAGGUUAGUCAAGCUGUGGAACAAGUUGCCCAAACAGUUUGUGCACUCUCUGCCCUUGGACUUUCAACACUUGAGCAGUCAAAGUUUAGAGAAAGGUCAGAGUUCAGUUUGAAACUGAGCAUUGAAACAAACAGCUAUGAGCAAAAAGGUGUAGACAUCCUAAGGUCCCUUCCAACCUGAACUACUGUUGUUCUGAAAUGCAGUUACAGAGUAACUCUGUGACAAAUACUGACAUCAACUCCUUCUGGGGCAAGAGUGACACUCAUCCCCAGGGUAAUCUAGGAAAGGUAACAGAAACGUAAACAAUGCAAGGAACACCAUGACAAGGUUUGCUAGGUCACUACUAGGAUGCAAUGGUUGUACUAAAGAAACCACAGGAACAUGCUGGCACUCUGCUAUUUUUGCUCGUUUAACACAAAAUCGUGGGGAAUUUCUUUCAAGCUGUGCCUUGCAUUUCUCUUAACACAGUGGGGGAGCUUAAAUAUCCAGAUACACCCAAGCUCUGAAAGAAAGAAUAUCUAUUUACUAUUAAGUCAAAAAAACAAACUUGGAAGCAAAAACCCCCACUAUAAUGGUAAAAAGGUGCAAGGAUAUAUGGCACUGUUGCUUUGGCAUCUGGCCUAUUAAGCAAUUGCAGUAACACAGAUAUGAAAAACCCAUAACAAUUUAGAGCUUUGAAAGCUGAAUAUCUUGUAUACAAUAUAUUUAAUAAUAAAAUGCAUUUCAGUCAAUAUAAAUAAAUAAAAUUGAGGUCAUGUUGAUAAAAGCUCUAGACAAUACAGACACAGUCUAUCCAAGGGCUAAGUGCAUUCCAAGAAUAAAUAAAUUACUGGCUAUAUUUGUUAAUAAAACUGACUUGAAUUGUUUAGUAAAUUCAAAAACCCCAGCUGAAAGUAGAUGCAGAGUAAAGGGAGAUUAUUUAAUCAUUAUAUCAAAAGUGACAUGUGAAGAUAAAGCAAGAUUGUACUUCCACAAGAAGCUUUCAUCCAUUUCUGAACACUGGACAAUUUCCAUCCACAGCCCACUCCUCUCCUCACAACAUCCCGGAAAAUGCCACCUCAGCAGCAUUAUCUAGUCCUGAUAGUUAUGGGGAGGUUACAAUAUAAAGAUGUAUUCUGUUCCCAUCCUCAGGAGCUGCUGAAAGCAGGAGGGGCAUUGUUUCUUCCUUAUCUCCUGUUAAUGGGCCCAUCAAUGUCUUGCCACAUGACUCAGAGAUAACUCCCUCCCAGAGCCAUUUCUGUUUAAUGGCUAAUCAAGGACCCACAGCAUGAGGCAGAAUGAUAUCAGCCCACUGUGAGACGCUCUGCCCAUGGGGGAGGAGCUAAGCAUCCCCACCUGGAUAUAAUCUGGGUUUUGGGACACAAUAAGCAGUCUUUCCACGGGAUUCCCAGACGAAUAGCCACUCUUACCCACUAGUUUUCCAGAGGACAAGAGCUACCAGAUUGUUUCUACAGGAUCACCCCUUCAACAAGACUGUUUCAUCUGGACUGCUACCACCACCCUAAAUAGCAGAGUGUCAGGUUGUAUUCUGACUGUGUCAGUGGUGUUUUCU